UUCGACAGCCGGAUUUACCAGCGCAUAAUUUUUGUGCCCUUCGUCCGGUUAGGCAUGGUGAUCAAGGUACUCUUGUUAUACCACGUGAUAUUCAGGAUUCUCAAUUGAAGAAGUUUAAGCAUGCUCUUAUAGGCAGACUUUUGUUAAAUAAAGGCGAUAAGCCGAGGCAAUCUCGUGAGUUAAAGGCGGAACUUCAAUCGCUUUGGAAAAUUUCUUCUCCCUGGCACUUGAUGCCGAUGGGAAAGGGUUACUAUACUCUUAGAUUUCAGUCGCAAGAGGAUAAAGC
rnacentral:lncRNA from 1 species